CACAAUGCUUCAGGCGACUCGGAAUGUUAUGGAGGUCAAAAUAAAGACCCACAUCACCAGUCUUCACCUCUACCACCGUAUCUCUCUAAGCCCCAGAAGUAGAGGGUCACAUGGGCAGGAAGUCGUCCACCUCCAGGUUGCACACAUACCAGAAGAUAAGGCUGAGAAAGAUGAUGAUGGGUCCAGAGAAGACCAAGAGGUCCCAGAAGAUGAAGAAAGCAAAAAUGCCCAGGAAGAGGCCUGUAGCGUCCAGGAAGAUGAAGAGAAGGCAGCGACCCAGCUGAGUGUCGGUACAGGUGCCGAGUGUCGGUACAGGUGCUGAUUGUCGGUACAGGUACAGGGUGUCGGUACAGGUGCUGAGUGUAGGUACAGGUGCUGAGUGUAGGUACAGAUACAGGUGCUUAGUGUCGGUACAGGUGCUGAGUGUCGGUACAGGUUCUGAGUGUCGGUACAGGUUCUGAGUGUCAGUUCAGGUGCUGAGUGUCGGUACAUGUACAGGUGCUGAGUAGGUACAGGUGCUGAGUGUCGGUACAGGUGCUGAGUGUAGGUACAGGUACUGAGUGUAGGUACAGGUGCUGAGUGUCGGUACAGGUGCUGAGUGUCGGUACAGGUACUGAGUGUAGGUACAGGUGCUGAGUGUAGGUACAGGUACAGGUGCUGAGUGUCAGUACAGGUACAGGUGCUGAGUAGGUACAGGUGCUGAGUGUAGGUACAGGUAUAGGUGCUGAGUGUCGGUA
rnacentral:lncRNA from 1 species